CAAAAGCCUUAUUUUGGAAUGAAAAUGUUUCCCCAGUGUGUAAUUUCCAAUGAUUGUUGUAAUAUCUUUGUUUUUUCUUGCAAAUGUUUUGGCAACAAAGAUAAGUCUAGCAUAUUCUUAUAUCAUGUUAAUAAAACCAAGGUAAGUAGCAUGAUGACUGAGGAGCCAGUAGCAAUGUAGCUAUCAUAGCAUGAAUUGAACAAGCCAGCUGGAAAUCCCAUAUAAAUACUUGGCAGCUGGUGCCUAAGCUACUCCAGCAACACUGCCAGCUCAAGAGUUCAGUGUAAAAACAUUCUUGAUUAAUACAGAGCUGGUUUAACAUGUUUUUCUCUGGAACACCGUCAUGCUGGCUAGGACAGAAGGAAGCUUUAACCAUGUACUAGACCUUGCAAGCUACACAAACCCGAACUGGUCCACAAUGGAAAGCUGUGCUCUACAGAUGUAAUCCAAGAGAACAUAGCUGACCCCCUGGAAAGAUUACAGCAAGGAGAACAACACAGAGGAAAGAUUUCAUUUGGCCUCCUCAUCACUGCAGCACUAGCAGAAGGGAUAACAAAGCAAACUGAUGAGGAAACAACAUCGGAUUAGCAUUGAAACUCCACUGGCAUCUGUGGAGUUACUCCAGAUUUACAGCAGACAAAAUAAGACUAAUAUUAGUCUUCAAAAGAAUAAGCCGUUUGCUCCUGCUUAUCCAGUCACAAAGCUGCACCCUCAGGAUUAGAAACUGAAGACAUCCUCAUUUCCUUUGCUGUUACAAUAAGACUGUCUACUGAAAUAGCAUCUCUAAACCUUUAGUUAGGGUAAUGUAAAGAAGUCCCCACACCACCACAGAAGCUUACAUUGUUCUCCCACCGGUGUCUAGAAAUAAUUGCCCUGUCUAGAAAGGUCUGCAUCCGAUGGAAAUAAAUGAAUGAGAAUAAAUUAUUUUUAUGAA